AAGACCUAGCAGAAUCCACAUGAAGUUCCAGGCUAUCUAGGAUAGUCUCUUCGACAGGGGAGAGUAGGCUGAAGGCCAAGAGUAGGCCAAACAGGCAGAUGGUCAGUAAGAAAAAUGCUCAAAAAAAAGAGGAGAAAAUAGUUCAGGGAGUGGGGUGAAGCAUGGGAAGCAAAAGCCUGAUGACAUAGGGGUCAGUCAGGUUAGGGUCAGGGAAGGAACCAGAGACCCACAUGAGGGUCUCAGGUUUCAGCUCUAUGACUGCUUUUCCCUAGAAGAUUGAGGAGAACAAGGCAGCAUCUCAUAUGUCUAAGGGACACAUCAGGGAAGCUGGCCAGAUGGCACUGGGAGGGCAACAGUUCAUGGCCUCAGUCAAAAUUAGACUGUAAGGCCCAGCCUGUUGAUUCAAUUGAUUUUUUUUUAUUAUAGUUAUGAAUCAGUAUUUCAUAUUUCUCUGACUUGGGGCAUGAAGGUAUUUCUUACAUUCUGCAUAUAUGAGAAUGACAAAAAUAAAAGGAAUAAGUUUAUUUAUGCAUUGAGGAUACAUAGAUACUGUCAGAAUUUUUUUCAGAGCUCUCUAAGUUCUUUGACCCAAAAGAUAAUAUUUCCUGACUAAAUUGAUCUAAAUUGAUUUCUUGGCUCACUCAUGAGUCUCAACUUGCAGUUUGAAAAACACUGCUUUGAAGGCGUUGAUGGAUUGUGACUCUGCUUCUUCAUCUUGGAUCCCACAUCUCAUGCUUCUGUUCAAAAUGAGCCAGUCAGUUUGUGAGUAUUAAAAGCCAUUUUAUUUGCCUGCUGCUGUUGUUGCUGUUUCUUCAGAAUUUCACAAAACUUCUAGUAUAUUCAUAGCAGAGAAAAAUAAGUUCAAAUGCAGAAUUCAGUUCAAUUCAAUGAAGAUUUGUUGAGCAAGCUCCUGCCAUGUGCCAGGCCCUAUACUAGGUGCUAAAGAUGUAGGAAUGAAUUAAGCAUGACCCCUUUUUUGGAGAACUUAGGCUACUGAAGGGGAAAAAAAUGGAAAUAAAGUGUAAUAAUGAACAUCUUAUGAAGUGCAUUUGGGGAGGGAGUAAUCAUUUCUUACCUGAGGAAAACAAAAUUUUUUGUAUGUGACAUGAUGCUUGAGCUAAGUCUGGUAAGAUGAGUAGAUGUUAUCUAAGAAGAUGAAAGGCUUUUACUGCUAGGCAGGGUGAUAAAGAGCACUCCAGGCAUGAGAGUAAUUUGAAAAUAAAUAUGGAGAUAUGAAUUAGACUGUCUUUCUUUGGACCUCACAUUGUUUACUAUGUGUAGACAAAAUAGUAGAAGCUGAUGGAGAAGCAGAAUCUAAUGACAGAUUUAUAGGCACAUCUGAGGAGACCAGAGGCACUGGCAACAGGUUUAUAUUUUAGGAGGGCACAUUGUAGAGUCAGACAAGUUGUCUGAAAACCAGAAGAACAGAAAGAAAAUAGCAAAUAAUCUGCUGAGGGCUUUAAAUAAGGCAAUAGCUAUAAGGAUGGAGAAAAGCAUAAGAGAAAUGGUAGAGGAACUAAAGCAAGGUAGAAUUUAAAUUUAAGAAAGGUCCUACUGAAGACACUGUUUCUUUUUUCUUUUCAUUUCUUUUCUCCUUCCUUCUCUCUUUCUUUGUGUCUUUCUUUGUGUCUUUUUAUGGCUGCACCCACGGCACACGGAGGUUCCCAGGCUAGGGGUCGAAUCGCAGCUGUAGCCACCGGCCUACGCCAGACCCACAGCAACAAGGGAUCCGAGCCGCAUCUGCGACCGACACCACAGCUCACGGCAACGCCGGACCCUUAACCCACUGAGCAAGGGCAGGGACCGAACCCACAACCUCAUGGUUCCUAGUCGGAUUCGUUAACCACUGCGCCACGACGGGAACUCCAAGGUACACAAAAUUUAAACAGACAUUACAAAGAGGGAAAUGACUUAGAUAUACAAUUCACAGUACCUAUGAAGUAAAAACCAGUUGCUUAGGAAACCCGUAUUUUUGGCUACUGAGAAGUCAUCUCCCUUAAGCUCAUCAUUAUAAAGAGGAUAUUUGUAGUGGUAAACCAUGUUCUCAGUAGCUUUCUUUAAAGUGGAAAAAUAAAUUUUGAAGAUCUGUCCUGAUAAUGAGUGUUAAAUGCAAGCCCAUAGACUCAUGCCAUAUUUGCAAGGAACCAAAGUGUCAUCAAGGCAUAUAGCUUUCAUCCAUUCAUCCAGGGAGCCUUUGAAUAACUUCGUUAUAUCAGGUUGUUUGCUAAACACCAAGAAUACAAUAGAGAGCAAAACAGGCAUGUGCCCCACCCUCAAUGGAGCACACAGUAUGUUAGCAAAGAUAUCAAACAGGUAAAUAUUGUAUAAAGUUAAAAGUGUUAUUAAAAGGGUGGUAUGGGGGCCCUGAACAGCCAUGUAGUUUAGGAAUCCCAGAUGUAGUCCCUGAAGAAGUGAUGAUACACUGAACUGGGUUAACCAGUGGAGAAACAACAUUGCAGGCAGAGAGUGGCAGAGAAUUCAAGGUUACAGUCGCUUGUUAAUGUUCUAGGCACCAAUUAAGAACAAGUCCAUGGGCUUUAACAGUCACCCAGGCUGGAGGUACUGUCCCAGUACAAUAAUUAAUUCAGAUUAAUUUAAAACAAAUAAUAAUGAUAACAUUUGAUUGGACAAUCUCAUUUUUUAAGAUAUUUUUCAGUGUCUUGAUUUAUUCUCUGAAUAUAGUCUAUAUAUAUAUAUAUCCUUAUUUUUUGGAUAUGAAAACUAAAACAUUCCUCAUGUAAGAAAGAUGCGCCUUAUUUUCCGCUUAAAGGGAAUAUAGGCAGGCAUAUCUAGGAGACAAUAAACCACAACAGGCAACAUAAGGCAUCAAAAAUGGUUAGUUAUAUAGUGCUUACCUCACCACAUGUUCUGUGUUGAUUUACUAUCCCUACUUUUCUCCUUAAUGACGCUUCCCCUUCUUGUCUUCCUUUUCUUAUAGCGUUUUAUGUUUAUAUCUCCUACUAGUGCUGCCUUAACAGUCUACUCAAACCUUUUCUCUCUUGGACUCUUUUUCUAUCUCUCCUUCCAUAUAUGUACACAUACACAUAUAUGUAUACGUGUAUGUAUAUAUCUAUCAAUUCAUUUAUGUAUUUCUCUGUAGCUAGGUUUAUUUAGACAAACAAUUGACUGUUUAGUCUUUAUUAUAAUACAUAAAAAUGAAAGCGUAAUUGUAAAAAUUACAGAAAGGGAGUUCCUGCUGUGGUAUAAUGGAAUCCCAGCUCGAGAGCGCUGGGAUAUAGGUUCAAUCCCCUGCCUGGCACAGCAGUGGGUUAAGGAUCCCGCAGUGCCUCAGCUGUGGUAUAGGUUGUGACUGCAGCUCAGAUCUGAUCCUGGCACCUGAACACCAUAUGCUGCAGGGUGGGACGGCCAAAAAAAAAAAAAAAAAAAAAAAAAAAAAA
rnacentral:lncRNA from 1 species